UUUUUUUUUUUUUUUUUUUAUGGCCACACCUGCAGCAUAUGGAAGUUCCCAGGCCAGGUAUUGAAUGUAAGCCACAGCUGAGACCCACUGCAGCAACAAUGAACCAUUUUAAUCUACUACGUUGGGCUGGGGAUCGAAUCCACACCUCUGCAGCAACCUAAGCCACUGUAGUCAGAUUCUUAACCCACUGUGCCACAGCAGGAACUCCCCCAUUUUGGUAUUUAAUGGCUAUCGAUCUUGCCACGGUUACUAAAUCUUUCUGUACUUUAGCUUCUUUACCUCAAAUGGUAAUUAGAAGCACCUUCCUCAUAGGAGUAUUAUGAGGGUUAAAUGAGUUAGUGUGAAUAAGGUGCUUCAAGUCUGCCACAUCAGAAGCCUUGGUAAGUAAGAGUCAUCACCGUCACCGUCACCAUCACCAUUGUCAUCAUCAGGUGUAGUGGAUUCUGUGUUGCUCUACCCAGAUCCCUCUUUACCCAUGCAUCAAUCCCCUAGACGCUACGCAGACUUGCUGAUAUACUCUCCCAACUUGACGAUGCCUUCCAGGACAGGCCUCUCAGCCAGCCAUUGGCUAUUAGUGGUCUCUAGGUGUAACCUUGGGUUGAUGUGAGAAUACAAAGGCCAACCCCCUUCUCAAAAUCAAAGAUAGCUCUAGAACUUCCAGUAGGAUUGAUUUUGGCCUCAACUGUAACCACAUUGUAGGUCAAACACUACUCAUCUGUGACAUCUUCAGAGGCAGCAAAGAAAAUAUGUGUACAGACUCUGGAGCCAGACUGCCUGGGUUCAUUUCCUGAUUUGGCUAUGGUCAUGGGACCUUGGAAAGCACUUACCCCCUCUGUGGCUAGGUUUCUGGAAAGGACAAAAUGAGCUAAUGAAUGCAGCAGCACUUUCAACAGUACCUGGCACAUAGCAAACACUGAAUUAACUGUUGUUAUUACCCAACUCACAAUGAUCCAGCCUUCAUCUGAAUCUAUGUGACCCUCGCUGUCUGAUCAUCCAUUCUUCUCUUAGCUGAUUUCAAAGCACUAUUUAUAUUUUUAAUCCAUAUUCAUAUUUUUCUGUUGCUUUAUGUCAACUAGGAGUAUUAGUCCUAUUUCUUUCAGUUUACAAAAUAGGAAUUCAGAGAAAUUAUAUGAUUUGCCUAAGAUCACACAGCCAGAUAUUUUUAUGCCAAUUUGUCCUCAGAAUGUAAGAUCUUCCCACCACGUGUCAUACCAGGUACAUAAGGAACUAUUGAAAAAGCUGCUCCUUAUACAGAUUUAUUUAUUUAAGUAUAUGUGCUAUGUAAAACAUAGAUCUUAAGAAGAAGACAGUAGCUACAUGCAAGUUGAAAGAAUAUUAAAGCAUGAUAGUUCAACAGUCUCUCCCUAAUACUGGAAAGUCGACUACAUUUCCAACAAAUCAUUGGUUAUCUGGCUCUGAAUAUUUUCAGUAUUAAGGAACUCAUGGCUUCCCAAGACAGCUUGAUUUUGUGAUGCUCUCUCCAUUAGAAGAGAGCUUAAACCACUUUUCCUAACUACUACUUGCCUCAUUGGUCCUAGUUCUGCCUAAGGAGCCACAUCAAAUAAAGCAAAUCCUUCAUCCAUGUUCUAGCCCUCCAAAUAUUUGAAAACAGUUAUUAUAUUCCCAUUCUUUUUUUCUAAGCUAAAGAAGGCAGAUAUCUUCCUCCAACCCUUCCAUCACAAAGCUUUUAGUCACUUCUCCAUCUUAUAUGCAUUCCUCUGGACACACUCCAGUUUUCUUGCAUCCUGAAAUAUAAUACCUGAAUCCAAACAUAGAUUCCCAUCUCUUAAUUAAGCAAGUCAGGGAAAAAAAAGACACAAAAAUUCAUAUUGAUAUAAAUGCCAUGCUUUCAUUACUUCGGCCAAAAAAAAAAAGUCUGCUAUUUUUUGGAAGUCAUGUCACCCUAGGGCUCAUGUGGAACCUACCUUCAACUAGAGUCACCAAAUGUUUAUUCCAAAUCUCCUUCCCCAUUUCCACCCUAUCUUAGGACUGUAUGUUUCACUGUGAUGAUCCACUUAAACUUUAUCUGGUUAGACAUAACCCAUUAUUUCAAUAUGUCAGGAACAUUUUGUCAACAAAUCUUCAUCUAAAAUAUUAACUCUUUCCAAAUCAAGUCCAUUUGAAAAUUUCAUCCGCCUGUCAUUGAGAUCCACUUCCAAAAUAUUUACGAAAAUAAUGGCCUGCAAAAGUCAAUGACAGAGACCACCUUCCUCAAGCAUGCUAUUGACACCUCAUACCCCCUCAAGGUUCUGCAUUCUACCAGUUACAGAUCUCAUUUAGCUCUGUGAUCCAACCUACAUCCCUCCGUGUUGUUCUCAAAGGUGCUAUGAGCGACUUCUCUCAGAUGCUCGUCAAAAUCUCAGUGUGUCAUUCCUAUAAUCUCCUGACCUACCUAUCCUAUCCUGCUGCCUCAUAAAUGGUUCCAGCUCAAGGAAAAAAAUGUAUUGACUAUUACGCUAAGGAACAUACAAGGAUUUUGGGGUGCAAUUCUUGUUAACAAGGACAAGAAGAUGAGUGCACACUGUUUCAAAGUCACACUGAAACAAUGUUUAACAGGCUCAUUUGGUCAAGAAUUACUUAAUUUUCUAAAAUAAUCUACCAUUGCUAGACUUUGAUAUUUAAAUAGAAAUUAAAGGCUUGGGUUCUAUGAAGUUACAUGCUAUCUUGUAAAUCUAUGUCUGGUACAGAAGCAAUAUUUUCUAAGAGAAAAAAAUAACUUCAAAUAUUAUGGUUUCUUGUAGUGUUGAUGAUGAACAGUUUAGUUCUAGUGCAACUAUCUAACUUAGCAUUCAUUUAUUACCUCACCUAUAAAUAGCCAGCUCCUCAAAUGCUCUUUGAACCAGCUUUAUGAUGUUAGUUUUUCUCAUUAAUUAUUGAGUUGGAUAAUAUCUUUGAAAUGUGCUCAUUCUGUAUUUGCAUGAAAGUCAUGCUUUAACUUUUUGAAAAUUAUACUUUGACAUUCUGAGCACUAAAAAAUUUAGUGUAAUUCUUCACUGUACCUAGUCUUAGUCUUGCCAUUGGAUUUUAAAUCUGACUGUUGGGGGUGAUGUUUUUUCAUAGGGGUCUUCCCUCUCCUUUCUACAUCUUGUGCUGGUAAUAUCAAGUAAACCAGCAUUGUACAGGCUUACACAUCCUCACUUCUGGCAUCUAAGAAAAAGACAACUUAUAGGAGAGACUACUUAUACCUGGGGAAGAAGGAAAGCAAAUCAUUUGCUUUCCUUUGGGUCACUUCCUUUCUCCAUUUUUACUGCUAAAAAUUCUUACAUG
rnacentral:lncRNA from 1 species